GCUCCCAAACUGGAGUAGAGGGAGAUCUCUCAAACUCAAAGACUAAAGUCAUGUUUCACUGCAGUUGGCAGGUAGAUCUACAGCCUACAGGAACAAAACACAACACUCAACAGACUGGACCCUGGUCUAUCUGUCUCCUGUGAGUAGAUCUUACUGGUAUGGCUCUGUACUGUAAAAUACUAGGUCUGCGAUGCAGCGAUGCCUGAUGCCUGAUGGUUUGUUGUUGACGCUCUUGUAGAUACCGAUUCGAAUAAUUAUUAUGACUGUUACUUGACGGCGUAGCUGUUAGACCAGUACAUGUAGUAGAUCUACUGACGCUACAGCCUAGGACAGCCUCCAGGUCUAGGUAGCGCAGAAGUGGCACUGCAGUGCAGUCCAUUGACUCUUUUACUUGAGUAUCACCCACUGACUGUGACUCGCAUCACCGCUUCAGGAUUCAUUGAUUCAGAAUUUAUGGUGCAGAGACCGACCGACUCGAGAGUAGAUCUGCGAGCGAUCCGUUGUCUGAGUUGCGUUCACAUGGUUGGAGUAAACCGGCUACGUCUACCGAUCAGAGCGUUGGACUUCUUCGUUUCGCGCCCGUAUCACAGAUUCUAGCCGCUACAGUCAGUAGAUAACGGCAGUCUUCCGCCCAGCGUUGCUCUGUAGAUCGACCGUAGACGCCACAACAUCGUGUGUGCGGUGCGGUGUAUCUGAUUUAGUGGUCGUGGCAGCACCGUGCGAUCUGAGCAGUAGUCCAGGCAGCUCAGGGAUCCUAGGGAGGAAUGGAGCCGAUAUCGCUAACGACAUCCGGAACGGCACAGUUUCGCGGGCGAGCUGCUUCACUGGUUUCUAACUUUGGAGGAUCUUUCCGGCGCAGAGGUAGUACUACUGCAGGCAAAAGGGGUUCGUACUCAGUCAGCAGUGACGGCGAUCGACCUCGACCAGUGAGCCAGAGCUUUGACGUCGUUCAGUCCGCACCCGGUGUUGCACAGGCAACUAUAGAUCCUGAGAAUAUGCCCCUGGCGCUGGAGAUGAAGCUAGGCACACGGAGCAGAUCACCACCGACAGCGAAACCCGGUAAGAUCGCUCUGCCCAAUUACUAUGGCCAAUCUUCAGUCGAAGCCUCGCUGCAAAGUGCGCGACCAAGAGAAAGGCCCAUUGUUGACCCAUCAGAAAGGACCUGGUUCAACCAUGUCAAUGCGCAGUAUGUUGGUGAAAUGGAGAAGAUGAUUGCAGAAGAAGACAUCCAUGUUGAUCGCAGAGAUUAUUUCACGGUGAGUUGACUUGGAAGGAUAGAAGUGACUGCUGUCUGCAGUCUACUGGACGCCACCAAGCUCCCUUAUCCUACUUGUUUGUCGUGUCACUGCUUGUUCUCACUUUGAGGCCGCCCUCGGUUACCAAUGAUUGUGUUUUGUAUUGUUUUCAAAAUGAAAAGGCUUUAGUUUUUCCCGGCCCCACCCACCCUUUUGCAGGUGAAAAAAAUUCAACACUGUUUGAAUUCAAUGUUCAGCACAAAGAUUAUGUUACACCUGUAGUGUAUUUCUAUGUGUUGAGCCUGAAGUUGUGUAGAUUUACUCCGUGUCAGCGCAUGUCUGGCAUCACUGGGUGUGGGGUGCAUGUGCAUCGUUGAAGCUACCGCCACCGCCAGCCGGCCAUUAUUCUUGUAUGAGAAGUACAUGAUUCACAGUUUGCUACCAACUCAUGUUGUCUUAUUUCUCUCUCUCUCCUCUCUCUCUCUCUCUCUCUCUCUCUCUCUCUCUCUCUCUCUCUCUCUCUCUCUCUCUCUCUCUCUCUCUCUCUCUCUCUCUCUCUCUCUAUUCUGUGCAUGCUCUCUCUCAUCUUGAUUCGAAUCUGCCUACUGGUCUCAUCUCAACAGGGCGUAAGUUCUUUUCUCGGUUUGUGAUCCGUACAGUUUCCCUUUGCGGAGUAUACUGGUACAGGACUAUGGUACUUCACAUUCGAAUGUCCGUUGUUACGCUUAGCUCUGCGGGAAGAGUAUGCGUGGUGUUAUGUUGAGCUAGAGCAGCCUUAGACCUACCGGCUUCUGCUGUAGAUUGCACAGUCACUGGUUGCUAGUCAAGAGAAUUUUGUUCUUAUUGCAUGAAGAAAUUUAUCCUGGAAUUUUCUUGCUUUUUCCUUUCAAAGAGUCUUACUUCGUACUGCGUGUGUGCUUGGGUAUCUGCAUGCGUGCUUGUUGGCAUGUGUGUGUGUGUGUGCGCGCGCGCGCGUGUAUGUGUGUGUGUGUGUGUGUGUCUUUCUAUACACAUCUUUGUAUAUUUGACGGAUGGUGCGUCCUGGCUUCCAAUGGAUUUCCUUUUACAGUUUACCGCUUUGCAUUGGGCGUGCAAGUUUGGCAAUAAAGACAUGCUGAAUCUCUGUCUGGACAACAAGGCAAAUACUAAUAUUCGAACUGUAAGGUCAUAACCAUACAGCCAGCACCUUGUGUAUUUAGUUGCUAUGACUAUGGCCCUAGGCUGGUGAGAAGAGGUGCUGGGUGCACAACUUCAAGUAAUCCUGAAUGAGAACUACAUGUUGGGUCGCACGGACUGUUUUUCAGAGUGCUUUGCUGGCAUGGCGUGCUUGUGUCCAACAGUAUUCACACAAGUUCCAGGGUGCCCAAAAGGCUAUGUGAAGUCCUGGGUGGCAAACGGGCACUUCAGGUUGAGUUUCAAGUAGCACGACUGAAUGUUCAGUUGUAUUGAUGUUGGCUCUUUUUUAUGCUCAUGAUGGCAAUUAUUUGAGCAGCUAGUCUUGACAAUGCUAAUGUACCUAUGUUCUGCUAUAUUUAUUUGCAUUCACUCUACUAUGACUGACUGACUGACUGUCUGGCUGGCUCUUUGGCUGCCCGUGGACUCUUGGCACGUGCAGCAUGUAAGUUUCAUGUUUGAAUGACUUGCGUACAUGUACUGCCUGGAACAUGCUCUACUCAGGAGUACGGUGUAGUGUGUAUUGCAGGCGAUCACUUGCCUUAUCACUAUUAUCAGUAUUGCCGGCGUUCUAGUUAUGGCAUGGCUCUCAUCUCUGCGCUGGCAGGUUCUAUCCAGAGUGUGUUGUGUCCAAGCUUUGGCGUGCUUGCACGGAAUCUUGUGUCGUUGUGUGUAUGUGGUCUACUUGUGAUCUACUUCAUGUUUCAACUCAUUGCUGUGUUUCCUGUUGUGUUUGGUUGUGUACACACCCCAUGUGGAUUUGCUGCCUUGCUUGCUCCUGUUCUUCGUUACGUCAGAGUGGCUGUAGUCCCCUUCAUCUUGCCAGUAAAUAUGGACAAACAGCCAUAUGCACGGAGUUAUUGGAUGCUGGUGCGGAUGCAAACUUGAGGGACAGCCGUGGCAAACUAGCGUAUCAUGUUGCCCACAAGAAGCUACCGGAUGCCGUGAAAGAGAGAUUGCUGAAAGGUGUUAAUCACAAUGCAAGCAAAGCAUUGACCCUGCUCAACAUCCAAGUGAAGAAAUCCUCUUCAGCAAGCAGUCACAAAAUCAGCUUGUCGACUAGUAAAGGCUUCAUUGGUGAUGGAGACGAAGGAAGUCUUGGCCCACGCAACAAGAGCAGUUGGUUCAAAAGGAAAUCGGCUGGAGCAACGGUCAACACGUCCUCAAUGCCGAUAUUCAACUCGUAGUGUGUGUGUGUGUGUGUGUGUGUGUGUGUGUGUGUGUGUGUGUGUGUGUGUGUGUGUGUGUGUGUGUGCGUGUGUGUGUGUGUGUCAUAUAGCUGUUCUUUCACAUACCGUAUGCCCUUCAGCAGGUGUCGUUUUGGACUCCCUUUUAUAUUUAUAUAUGUACGAGAAAUCCUACAACAGCGUCCACAUCAAAUGCACCAAUCUAAGUAUGUGCAGCAUAUUACCACCGUCCUAUUUUAGUCCAUAGCACCCCUUAUGCGCACCGGCUUGCUUGAUAUUAGCACUCGCCUGGCUUGAUCAUUACGCAGCUGUACACGCCGUACAUGUAUGUGCAAGAUAGUAUUCUUAGUGACCGCGAUCACUCUAUUCUCCCACCGCUUGCCUGCUGCUGCCUUUAGCUCUUUCUGCUAUCUAGUUGCCUACUUGACUGCCCUGCUGUGCAGGUAGCCAUCCUAUCACGGUUUGAUUUAGUACUGAUGAUCCAACCUUAGAUUCAACUAUCUGUGACUCUUCUCCUGAGCAUGAGUGCCCCUUUUUUUCUCCUCUUCUCUCCUGCUAGUGUAUGUCUUGAUCUAUCAACCCGGUCCUAUGCUGAUACAGAUUUACUCUUGUCCAUCACACCUCUCCACACUAACCCCUAUAAACUAGCCCUGAGUUGAACCAGCUGCACAGUGUACUGGUAUACUUGUUGCUGCUCAGAUUAUAUCAAACGCCUUACUCACACCCGCUCAAUCACCACUAAGUGGUGAUUGACCAAGUCUUGGUGUUGUGCAUCUCUUAUGUCUGCUACUAGCUUUCAUGUCUAGGUAUCAAAUUGUCCGUUUUGUUUUAGGAAUGCUCAGAACAGAUUUGUAUUGUCAUUGCAAUUCUGUUCUUUCCUUUCUUUCAGUAUCUAUUGCUCUGCAUCAAGAUUUUUUUUCUUCUGCUCAUGUUCCACCCAACUUUCUGUCACCGUUUUUGUCUUCUUUCGAUGUUUUUAUUUUACAAAUCGAUUUAUUCAGAUCACAUGCAUGAUGGGUUGGGGUGACUUGA